UACGAAGGGUGCAAGCGUUAAUCGGAAUUACUGGGCGUAAAGCGCGCGUAGGUGGUUCAGCAAGUUGGAGGUGAAAUCCCCGGGCUCAACCUGGGAACUGCCUCCAAAACUACUGGGCUAGAGUAUGGUAGAGGGUGGUGGAAUUUCCUGUGUAGCGGUGAAAUGCGUAGAUAUAGGAAGGAACACCAGUGGCGAAGGCGACCACCUGGACUAAUACUGACACUGAGGUGCGAAAGCGUGGGGAGCAAACAGG
rnacentral:rRNA from 1 species